GGACCCGCACAAGUAGUGGAGCAUGUGGUUUAAUUCGAAGAUACGCGCAGAACCUUACCAACACUUGACAUGUUCGUCGCGACUUUAAGAGAUUAAAGUUUUCGGUUCGGCCGGACGAAACACAGGUGCUGCAUGGCUGUCGUCAGCUCGUGUCGUGAGAUGUUGGGUUAAGUCCCGCAACGAGCGCAACCCUUACUUUUAGUUGCCAUCAUUUAGUUGGGCACUCUGAAAGAACUGCCAGUGAUAAGCUGGAGGAAGGUGGGGAUGACGUCAAGUCCUCAUGGCCCUUACGUGUUGGGCUACACACGUGCUACAAUGGCCAGUACAGAGGGCUCUAACCCCGCGAGGGGGGCG
rnacentral:rRNA from 1 species